rnacentral:rRNA from 1 species
CGCGUAGGCGGCCAUUCAAGUCAGGCGUGAAAGCCCCGGGCUCAACCUGGGAACGGCGCUUGGGACUGGAUGGCUGGAGUUCGGGAGAGGAGAGUGGAAUUCCCAGUGUAGAGGUGAAAUUCGUAGAUAUUGGGAAGAACACCGGUGGCGAAGGCGGCUCUCUGGACCGAGACUGACGCUGAGGCGCGAAAGCGUGGGGAGCAAACA